GACGAACGCUGGCGGCGUGCCUAAUACAUGCAAGUAGAACGCAGUUGCGAACGGGUGAGUAACGCGUAGGGAACUUCCUCAUAGCGGGGGAUAACUUUUGGAAACGAUAGCUAAUACCGCAUACUGUGAGAUGGACCUGCGUUGGAUUAGGUAGUUGGUGGGGUAAAGGCCCACCAAGGCGACGAUACAUAGCCGGCCUGGGAGGGUGGUCGGGCAACAUGGGACUGGGGAACGGGCCAGACUGCUACGGGGGGCAGGAGUUGGGGAACAUCGGCAAUUGACGGAAGUCUGGACGAGCAACGGCGCGGGAGUGGAGAAGGGUUUCGGGUCGUAAAACUAUGUUGUUAGAGGAGCGGUAACUAACGAAAAAGGGACGGCUAACUACGUGCCAGCAGCCGCGGUAAUAC
rnacentral:rRNA from 1 species